CCCUCGUGAGCUCAUGCACUCACCCUCCAGCUCCUCUCCCAACAGAAAGAGUACUUCAAGCAGUAUGAAGUGGGGCUCCAGAACCUGUGCCAUUCCUACCAGAGCCGCGCCGACUCGCGGGCCAAGGCCUCCGAGGAGAGCCUGCGUACCUCCGAAAGAAAGCUCCGCGAGACAGAGGAGAAGCUGCAGAAGCUGAGGACCAACAUCGUGGCGCUCCUGCAAAAGGUGCAGGAGGAAUCUGUGGUUCCAACCCUGGCUGCACAGCAUCCUGACCAGGAGGGCUGGAGGUGGUGCGGCUGCCUGGGCCUCAUCCCACCAGACCCACGGAGGGCCUGCAGGGGGCGGAGGUUAGAAUCCGGGACUCCAGUGAGGAGGUUCCGACAGUUGUAUGGGUGAGAGAUUCUGGCAGCCUGAACCUUGGAUGGUGACAGUGAGGAGGGAGAGAAGUGGGCAGAUUUGUUGUAAUGUCUUGAGGGAGGGGGAGGAAACAAGGGUGAUGGUUGUGGUUUGUCUGAGCCCCUGGGUGGAGGGGAGGCAGUGGUGGCCUGUACCAAGAUGGAGCAACUCGGGGUGGGUGGUGCCGUUGAGCUGUUGGAUGUUUUGAGUCUGAGAAGCCUGCAGCAUGGCUAAGGCAAGCCGGGAACUUGGGGUAGAGGCAGGGUAGGAGCAAGAAAUCUGGGCAUCAUCUGUGCACAGAGGAGGGAGGGGGCGGAUGAUCAAGAAGGGACAGGCCUGACAGCCAGGGUGGAGGGGCGAGAGGAAGGGGCACAGGCUGCAAGAAGGGUGGGGAGGCAGGCCAGCCACCACCCUCUGGCCCCUGGCUGACCCUGCUCUGCU